rnacentral:rRNA from 1 species
AACUGAAACAUCUAAGUACCCCGAGGAAAAGAAAUCAACCGAGAUUCCCCCAGUAGCGGCGAGCGAACGGGGAGCAGCCCAGAGCCUGAAUCAGUGUGUGUGUUAGUGGAAGCGUCUGGAAAGGCGCGCGAUACAGGGUGACAGCCCCGUACACAAAAAUGCACAUGCUGUGAGCUCGAUGAGUAGGGCGGGACACGUGGUAUCCUGUCUGAAUAUGGGGGGACCAUCCUCCAAGGCUAAAUACUCCUGACUGACCGAUAGUGAACCAGUACCGUGAGGGAAAGGCGAAAAGAACCCCGGCGAGGGGAGUGAAAAAGAACCUGAAACCGUGUACGUACAAGCAGUGGGAGCACGCUUAGGCGUGUGACUGCGUACCUUUUGUAUAAUGGGUCAGCGACUUAUAUUCUGUAGCAAGGUUAACCGAAUAGGGGAGCCGAAGGGAAACCGAGUCUUAACUGGGCGUUAAGUUGCAGGGUAUAGACCCGAAACCCGGUGAUCUAGCCAUGGGCAGGUUGAAGGUUGGGUAACACUAACUGGAGGACCGAACCGACUAAUGUUGAAAAAUUAGCGGAUGACUUGUGGCUGGGGGUGAAAGGCCAAUCAAACCGGGAGAUAGCUGGUUCUCCCCGAAAGCUAUUUAGGUAGCGCCUCGUGAAUUCAUCUCCGGGGGUAGAGCACUGUUUCGGCAAGGGGGUCAUCCCGACUUACCAACCCGAUGCAAACUGCGAAUACCGGAGAAUGUUAUCACGGGAGACACACGGCGGGUGCUAACGUCCGUCGUGAAGAGGGAAACAACCCAGACCGCCAGCUAAGGUCCCAAAGUCAUGGUUAAGUGGGAAACGAUGUGGGAAGGCCCAGACAGCCAGGAUGUUGGCUUAGAAGCAGCCAUCAUUUAAAGAAAGCGUAAUAGCUCACUGGUCGAGUCGGCCUGCGCGGAAGAUGUAACGGGGCUAAACCAUGCACCGAAGCUGCGGCAGCGACACUAUGUGUUGUUGGGUAGGGGAGCGUUCUGUAAGCCUGUGAAGGUGUACUGUGAGGUAUGCUGGAGGUAUCAGAAGUGCGAAUGCUGACAUAAGUAACGAUAAAGCGGGUGAAAAGCCCGCUCGCCGGAAGACCAAGGGUUCCUGUCCAACGUUAAUCGGGGCAGGGUGAGUCGACCCCUAAGGCGAGGCCGAAAGGCGUAGUCGAUGGGAAACAGGUUAAUAUUCCUGUACUUGGUGUUACUGCGAAGGGGGGACGGAGAAGGCUAUGUUGGCCGGGCGACGGUUGUCCCGGUUUAAGCGUGUAGGCUGGUUUUCCAGGCAAAUCCGGAAAAUCAAGGCUGAGGCGUGAUGACGAGGCACUACGGUGCUGAAGCAACAAAUGCCCUGCUUCCAGGAAAAGCCUCUAAGCAUCAGGUAACAUCAAAUCGUACCCCAAACCGACACAGGUGGUCAGGUAGAGAAUACCAAGGCGCUUGAGAGAACUCGGGUGAAGGAACUAGGCAAAAUGGUGCCGUAACUUCGGGAGAAGGCACGCUGAUAUGUAGGUGAAGUCCCUUGCGGAUGGAGCUGAAAUCAGUCGAAGAUACCAGCUGGCUGCAACUGUUUAUUAAAAACACAGCACUGUGCAAACACGAAAGUGGACGUAUACGGUGUGACGCCUGCCCGGUGCCGGAAGGUUAAUUGAUGGGGUCAGCGCAAGCGAAGCUCUUGAUCGAAGCCCCGGUAAACGGCGGCCGUAACUAUAACGGUCCUAAGGUAGCGAAAUUCCUUGUCGGGUAAGUUCCGACCUGCACGAAUGGCGUAAUGAUGGCCAGGCUGUCUCCACCCGAGACUCAGUGAAAUUGAACUCGCUGUGAAGAUGCAGUGUACCCGCGGCAAGACGGAAAGACCCCGUGAACCUUUACUAUAGCUUGACACUGAACAUUGAGCCUUGAUGUGUAGGAUAGGUGGGAGGCUUUGAAGUGUGGACGCCAGUCUGCAUGGAGCCGACCUUGAAAUACCACCCUUUAAUGUUUGAUGUUCUAACGUUGACCCGUAAUCCGGGUUGCGGACAGUGUCUGGUGGGUAGUUUGACUGGGGCGGUCUCCUCCUAAAGAGUAACGGAGGAGCACGAAGGUUGGCUAAUCCUGGUCGGACAUCAGGAGGUUAGUGCAAUGGCAUAAGCCAGCUUGACUGCGAGCGUGACGGCGCGAGCAGGUGCGAAAGCAGGUCAUAGUGAUCCGGUGGU